GGGUGAGUAACGCGUAUCCAACCUGCCCUUCACUCCGGCACAGCCCGUCGAAAGACGGAUUAAUGCGGGAUGCAGUCAGAAAGAUGCAUAUUAAUUUGACGAAAGGCCUUCGGGCCGGUGAGGGAUGGGGAUGCGUCCGAUUAGCUUGACGGCGGGGUAACGGCCCACCGUGGCGACGAUCGGUAGGGGUUCUGAGAGGAAGGUCCCCCACAUUGGAACUGAGACACGGUCCAAACUCCUACGGGAGGCAGCAGUGAGGAAUAUUGGUCAAUGGGCGAGAGCCUGAACCAGCCAAGUAGCGUGCAGGAAGACGGCCCUAUGGGUUGUAAACUGCUUUUGUGCGGGAAUAAAGCGGG
rnacentral:rRNA from 1 species